rnacentral:lncRNA from 1 species
UUAUAUUGCUGCGUAACUCCAAAGUUUUGAAAGGAAGGCCAGCCGCCCUAAGACGCACCACUAGAGAACGGUGCCGGACUGUGUCCCGUCAGUCCACCAUACUACCCAAGCCCACCAAAACCAGUAUACCGACCACUGCGCAUCUCCGAUCCAGUAUGAGCAAACGAGAAUCGCGCCACCGUCGGAGCAGUUAGACCAUCAUACUCACGGUUGAACCGGUAGAAGCACCGUUACGCUAGAUGGCCAUAAUAACCGUAAAUUUGGCACUGUAUACGAGGACGAAAGCCACGCCCGCGCAAACGACCACCGCGCACAUCACUCAAACUAGAGUCAGUCUCUAGAGGACUUUCGACCAGAUUGACAUAGAUCAGUAUGUCAGGCACCGUCUGUGUUUGGUGGCUUUCGAUCUCUAACAGCACGUUGACAAGCUUUUGGAACGGAAGAGCCUCCGGUGAGAAUGAUACCGGGGUUACCAUAGCAUCAAACUCUGAUGGUAUACCGGCAACAAAUAAAUUCUACUUUUUUGGUCUCCGAAACACUAGAUCUAGAGGCCUAAAGCAGAGCACAGAGAUUCUGAAUGUUGGCAAGGUAUUCUUUAAUAGAGAGCUCACAUUUUUUUACGGAUACAAUUCAUGCCUAACACGAGACACCUUAGCACCAAUAGAUGCCACAAACAGUCGAUUCACAGUGUUCCAGACAUCGCAAGCUGACUUCGCGGUUGUAAAGCAAGACAACAAAGACGCACUGGUCGUAGAAAGCAACUAGGAGGUAAGGAGCUUGUCUUGUUGAACAAACACGGAAUCUUUUGGAUUUGGAGUUAAAGCACCAUCCGGAGACGCACAAACCUAGGCGGUAAAGGUAACGUGCCGUCUAAAAAGCCUAACAACUCAUAUCCUUCAACAAUUAGACGCACAUUGCUGUCAUUGAAUAAAAAUUUUCUCAUCUAAUUUUACUGUGUCAUGGCGAGGAAAACACUAAAUCAAACGUAAGCUGGAAAACGUCGGACUAGAGUGAUCAACGGAAGUGGAGUCUGUCGAAUUAGCCAUGGAUUAGCAAAGAAAACAAGCACCAUGACCUCAGGCGACUGAUACCAUAUUAGGUACCAUAUUCUUGAAUAAGAACAGAGAACAAAUUGAAAAAAUGUGAAUUACUAAAGAAACUUGCUUAGUAUAUUAUUUUGUAGUGAUUUCUACAAUGCUAGUGUUUUUAUAUUUGAUUUUUGAGUAACUGCUAUUAACAAACUAUAUCAGACUAAGUAACAGAAUGAUAAUAGACUAACAAUAUCUGUUACACUUGGGAUGGUGGUUCUUUGUUGUUGUCCCAACGAAACAUUAGAUGAAUGCGACAUUCAUUCAAAAAGUGGUCCCCCCAUCUACAUAAUUGCUUUGUGAGCUCUCACCAUGGCCAAUAGUUGUGUGCGAGUCCAGUUAAACCUCCAAGUUUUAUUGAUUGUCUUUCUCCAGGAGUUUCCGAACCAAACAAGGUGUUGUGGCGUUGUUUGGAGUUGGCCGAAUUUCCCCAAAACAACAUAGGGUACACCAUUUCAACACACAUGUGAUUGAUAGCAACAAGUUGCAAUUUAGGGCAAAGUAUCUUUUGUCAUGCAUGUGCCCUGAGAGGUCAUACGAUUAUAGCAAUCCUCGAAGCCAAAGCUCAAAGAAAGAAACAUAAAACAGGAUUUAUAUGCUGCCUCAAUUUUCGUCAUAUAUGUUUUAAUUUUUUAUGUCUGUUUUACGGUUCAUGUUUGAAGUUUAUGAUUGCCUCUCUAAACAAUAUCGUCUUCAAAUUUAUAUUUCCUUAUUAAAAGUGUAAUGUACUUCACCGUUACUUUCAUAUUUGUUGAUAAGCUCCCUCAUAUAAUAAUUUAAGAUUUUAACUAAUUCAACAGUAGUAAGGGGCAGUCAAAUUAUAGCAGUAUAGGCCUAUGCACGAUUUCCUUGCAUGUUUGCUGGGAAACCAAGUUUACAUAACAUCUAUCACAUUCUCAACAGCCAUUGGAACUAUGAAAGCUCCGAAGAUCUAAAACGUGUAUAUAUAUACGAGGCCAAAUCUACUGUGAGAUUGUUUACUUUUGCUGCCAUUUCCAAUACUAAAAAUUAAUGUCGUAGUAAAUUAGGAGACCAUAGUGUUAUUUUCC